UACGAGGGGGGCAAGCGUUGUUCGGAAUUAUUGGGCGUAAAGGGUGCGUAGGCGGUUUGGUAAGUCUUAUAUGAAAUCUACAGGCUCAACUUGUAGUCUGCAUGAGAAACUGCCGGGCUUGAGUAUGGGAGAGGUGAGUGGAAUUCCUGGUGUAGCGGUGAAAUGCGUAGAUAUCAGGAGGAACACCUGUGGCGAAAGCGGCUCACUGGACCAUAACUGACGCUGAUGCACGAAAGCUAGGGGAGCAAACAGG
rnacentral:rRNA from 1 species